rnacentral:rRNA from 1 species
GAUGAACGCUGGCGGCGUGCCUAAUACAUGCAAGUCGAGCGAACAGAUAAGGAGCUUGCUCCUUUGACGUUAGCGGCGGACGGGUGAGUAACACGUGGAUAACCUACCUAUAAGACUGGGAUAAUUUCGGGAAACCGGAGCUAAUACCGGAUAACAUAUUGAACCGCAGGGGUCAAUAGUGAAAGGCGGCUGUGCUGUCACUGACAGAUGGGUCAGGGCCGUAUUAGCUAGUUGGUAAGGUAACGGCUUACCAAGGCAACGAUACGUAGCCGACCUGAGAGGGUGAUCGGCCACACUGGAACUGAGACACGGUCCAGACUCCUACGGGAGGCAGCAGUAGGGAAUCUUCCGCAAUGGGCGAAAGCCUGACGGAGCAACGCCGCGUGAGUGAUGAAGGUCUUCGGAUCGUAAAACCCUGUUAUCAGGGAAGAACAAAUGUGUAAGUAACUGUGCACAUCUUGACGGUACCUGAUCAGAAAGCCACGGCUAACUACGUGCCAGCCGCCGCGGUAA